rnacentral:misc_RNA from 1 species
GGAUGGAAGUGAAGGAAAGGAAACGUAAGCUCUUUUUAAAUGAGUGUUCCAGAAAAUGUAGCAUUAUGGUGAAUGCAUAAAUUUAUACUCUUUUUUUUUUCUUCGGAAGCAAAGUUUACAAUGACACCUCUAUGAACUGCAUAAUAAUGUCUAAAUUAGAUUCUGAGGAACCUUGAAUAUGGCAAUUAUGAUGAAUGCAUGAGUUUAUACUUUUGUCAUUUUUUGGAAGGUUCAUGAUGAAAUCCUCUCAGAAUAGCAUAAACUCUAAUGUAAUUAGAUGCUGUCUUAAGUAGAUUCUAAGAAAUCCUAGUAGCCUGUAAGCAAAUUUUCAAUUAUUCUCCUGGACUUGCCAAAGAAUCCACAGGUUGAUUUACUCUCCCAUUUAGAUGGUAUAAUCGUGUUGCUUAUUGGCUUGGCCUAUUGGAUCUCUACAAGCUUGAAUAAGAUCUAUCAUUCUCCAAGACACUUUUGUCUGUUUUCAUGGAUCAUAUUUAUAUUAUAGUCAAAGGGAGUGGCCUGUCAAUCCCCAAGAGUUAGGCAUGCAAGAAAGGCCAAGAUAAGUGAAACACUUCAGUAAUGCCUUGCAGGAAUUUUCUAGAACGUUGGAGAAG